CUCCGUUUUAUUUGCGUGUAAUGCGGGCCGAGAAUAAAAUUUACAGUUAUAUUCAGUCUGGAUUUACAUGAUACUCCAGUUAUACAUCGAGCGCACCGAACCGCCCCUUAAUAUAACAGAGGUCUAUGACUCCAUAUAUCGAAGUGUCAAGCGUGAUGUUUUGUAUUUAAAUUUUUGGCGUGAAAGUGCGAUACUUCUUUGCCGAUUUUUUGUAUCAUUUUAUGUUUAUAUCAAGUCUCGUUUAUUUUCGUAAUAAAGCUUAAGAGGGCCUCUCAGUAAAAUCCACCCACUGUUUGGGGAAGGGAAAAUAGAUUUAGCUCAUAUUUUG